GGGGCUGAUUCUGGAUUCGACAAGAUUCACGAAACCCAAGGUGCAUGCCGAGGUGCGGUAGGCCUCGUUAAUAAACCGCAAAAAAAUAGUCGCAAACGACGAAAACUACGCACUCGCAGCUUAAUAACCUGCGCUGAGCCCUUCUCCCCUAGCUUGCCUGUGUCCUAGGGAAAUGGAAGGUCAUCCUUCACAGGAUCGUGUGGAAGUCCUGCUCGGGGCGGAAGCAUUAAAACCAAUCGAGCUAGUCAAUGCGUGGCGUGUCUCUCCGCAGCGUGUUGGCGAAUGUAAAGAGUGACUAAG
rnacentral:tmRNA from 1 species